rnacentral:rRNA from 1 species
GAUGAACGCUGGCGGCGUGCCUAAUACAUGCAAGUCGAGCGAACGGACGAGAAGCUUGCGUCUCUGAUGUUAGCGGCGGAUGGGUACGUAACCCGUGGAUAACCUCCCUAUAAGACUGGGGUAACUACGAGAAACCGGGCCUAAUACCGGAAAAUAUUAUCAACCGGAUGGUUCACAAGUGAAUGACGGGCUUGCUGUCACUUAUAGAUGGUUCCGCGCUGCAUUAGCUAAUUGGUAAGGUAACGGUUUACCACGGCAACGAUGCAUAGCCGACCUGAGAGGGUAUCAGGACACAGUGGGAGUGAGACACGGUCCAGACUCCUACGGGAGGCAGCAGUAGGGACUCUUGCGCAAUGGGAGAAAGCCUGACGGAGCAACGCCGCGUAAGUGAUGAAGGUCUUCGGAUCGUAAAACUCUGUUAUUAGGGAAGAACAUAUGUGUAAGUAACUGUGCACAUCUUGACGGUACCUAAUCAGAAAGCCACGGCUAACUACGUG